rnacentral:rRNA from 1 species
UACAGAGGGUGCGAGCGUUGUCCGGAAUCACUGGGCGUAAAGGGCGCGUAGGCGGCGACCCAAGUCUGUGGUGAAAGCUCGACGCUCAACGUCGAGUCGGCCAUAGAUACUGGGUUGCUUGAGCACUGUAGAGGCAGAUGGAAUUCCGGGUGUAGCGGUGGAAUGCGUAGAGAUCCGGAAGAACACCGGUGGCGAAGGCGGUCUGCUGGGCAGUUGCUGACACUGAGGCGCGACAGCGUGGGGAGCAAACAGG